GAUGAACGCUAGCUACAGGCUUAACACAUGCAAGUCGAGGGGAAACGAUAGAGAAAGCUUGCUUUUUCUAGGCGUCGACCGGCGCACGGGUGAGUAACGCGUAUCCAACCUGCCCAUCACUUGGGGAUAACCUUGCGAAAGUAAGACUAAUACCCAAUGCUAUCUCUAGAAGACAUCUGAAGGAGAUUACAGAUUUAUCGGUUAUGGAUUGGGAUGCGUCUGAUUAGCUUGUUGGCGGGGUAACGGCCCACCAAGGCGACGAUCAGUAGGGGUUCUGAGAGGAAGGUCCCCCACAUUGGAACUGAGACACGGUCCAAACUCCUACGGGAGGCAGCAGUGAGGAGUAUUGGUGAAUGGGCGAGAGCCUGAACCAGCCAAGUAGCGUGCAGGAUGACGGCCCUAUGGGUUGUAAACUGCUUUUAUAAGGGAAUAAAGUGAGUCUCGUGAGGCUUUUUGCAUGUACCUUAUGAAUAAGGACCGGCUAAUUCCGUGCCAGCCGCCGCAGUAA
rnacentral:rRNA from 1 species